rnacentral:rRNA from 1 species
CCUACGGGGGGCAGCAGUGGGGAAUAUUGGACAAUGGGCGAAAGCCUGAUCCAGCCAUGCCGCGUGUGUGAAGAAGGCCUUCGGGUUGUAAAGCACUUUCAGUGGGGAAGAAAGCCUUGGGGCUAAUACCCUCGAGGAAGGACAUCACCCACAGAAGAAGCACCGGCUAACUCCGUGCCAGCAGCCGCGGUAAUACGGAGGGUGCGAGCGUUAAUCGGAAUUACUGGGCGUAAAGCGCGCGUAGGCGGUCUGAUAAGCCGGUUGUGAAAGCCCCGGGCUCAACCUGGGAACGGCAUCCGGAACUGUCAGGCUAGAGUGCAGGAGAGGAAGGUAGAAUUCCCGGUGUAGCGGUGAAAUGCGUAGAGAUCGGGAGGAAUACCAGUGGCGAAGGCGGCCUUCUGGACUGACACUGACGCUGAGGUGCGAAAGCGUGGGUAGCAAACAGGAGUAGAUACCCUGGUAGUC